rnacentral:rRNA from 1 species
UGGGGAAUAUUGCACAAUGGGCGAAAGCCUGAUGCAGCGACGCCGCGUGAGGGAUGACGGCCUUCGGGUUGUAAACCUCUUUCAGCAGGGAAGAAGCGAAAGUGACGGUACCUGCAGAAGAAGCGCCGGCUAACUACGUGCCAGCAGCCGCGGUAAUACGUAGGGCGCAAGCGUUGUCCGGAAUUAUUGGGCGUAAAGAGCUCGUAGGCGGUUAGUCGCGUCUGCUGUGAAAACUCGAGGCUCAACCUCGGGCUUGCAGUGGGUACGGGCUGACUAGAGUGCGGUAGGGGUGACUGGAAUUCCUGGUGUAGCGGUGGAAUGCGCAGAUAUCAGGAGGAACGCCGAUGGCGAAGGCAGGUCACUGGGCCGCAACUGACGCUGAGGAGCGAAAGCAUGGGGAGCGAACAGGAUUAGAUAGCCCUGGUAGUCCAUGCCGUAAACGUU